UUUUCUACGAUCGUAACUUCUGACCGAAUUCGAAUUAUUUUACUACCGUUCGUGGCGUCAUCUGAAAGAGCGUUCUUUUGUUUUCAAAAAGAGUCGCGAGGAGCGCUCUAAGAGUUUCCAGUGCUAUGCAACAAUAUGGCGCGCGAGAAGCGUCGUUUGCGUCACCGCUUACUUUUCACGUUCCAUCAUAGAAAAUCGGUUGUUAAAGCUAUUGAAACGGUUUACGUUCCAUUGGGAGAGAACGUAUCUUAGGGAACGUAUGAAAAGUGGUACCAAAGAUUUAAAGCCGGAAAUUUUAAUUUGGAAGACGAUAAUCAGGUUCAGGCGCAUCGAGAAAGUUCGACGACGGUGAAUCAGAGGAAUCGCUCGACGAAAAUCCAAUCCAGACGCGAGAAGAAUCGGUAGAAGUGAUCAGACUGAAACAAUUGGGUAAUCUUGUACUUGAUUUGUAUAUUAAAAUCUUGAAUUUGGAAAAAAAAAGGAAGAAUUUAUUCGCAUACAUACAUAUAUAAUUUGCCUCCCACGGCGAUUUCUCUUGUCGAGUCGUCCUCGCGUGGCACGCGUGCGCGCAGAUAAGAACGAUUAUAUAGGCACGCUCGUUAUUCCGAGCAACCGGCUCACGCUCGAAUAAUAAUAGCGCGGUGAAACGACAAACGUCUUAUCGCUCAAGCGUUUAAAUAUAAACGCCCUUGCUUCCUCGAUCUCUCCAAUUAAUCGAGCGGAUUGUUGAACGCGUUAAUGCGUGGCCGUGUACUUUCUGCUACUGAAACUAAUCACGCCGGAUACGUCCGAUUUAAAUUGCAUGCAACGGUUCUCAACUUGCAAAUCGUGAAAUUAAUGCAUAUAUGUAUGUAUUUGGUAUAACACGAAAGGCGAUUUUUCUUAGUAUCGUGAGAGAGAUAUUGUCGUCGAUUCGUUUCCCGAGAAUGGCCGACUUGCAACGCAUUUCAAAAACAGUGACAUUAUUGUCGGCAAGAAGGGAGUGGUGUGGUGUGAGGGGAAGAAUGGUCAAUUGAAAAUGUGAAGAAGAAGAAGAAGAAGAAGAAGAAUAAAGUUUUUUUCCGUUGACACUUCGUUUCCGAGAGAAUUGAAUUGAAAAGCGAGCCGGUGUCCGACCGAUCGUUGGCUCGUUCCACUCGUAUGUCCGAUUAAUCGUUGAUCACGGCAUAGUUUCGAAAAAUAUUGAAAAACGUCAUAUGUGUACGAGACACAACAGAGAGAGAGAGAGAGAAAGAGGAAGAGAGAUUAAACAGGAAAACGGGCAGUUUGCUCCACCAGUGACUCGUUUUUUCGUGCAAUUCUUAUUCCAUCCCAAACGAAUCCGUUUUUGCUCCGUCGCCUUUCAUUUUUUUCAACGCCACCUCGCGGGAUGAAAAAUUCGAGAUCGAGGGGAACCAUCUUGGGAUUGAAAUGGGCGCCGCCAUUACCGAUUGGAAGUAUGGAAGGUCGAAUGUUCGCGCCUAAAAUAACGUAUCCUUUCUAAAAGAAAUAAGAAAAAGAGAGCUCGAUGAUGGAGGGGAGGUGAGGAGAGAUCGAAAGUUGGACGGUUGGAGGACAACAGUGCGUUUAAAUAGAGCGAGAAUCGUCUGGGGAAAUAUGGCGCGUGAUGGAAAGCUUGGUAUUUUGAAUUAGAGAGGGGGAUUUAUUCUUUAGAAAAUUCUACGUGAAUGAUAGUGGAUCUGGAGUUUCUUUUCGAAUUUCUUUUCCACGACGAAUAAUCUCUUCCCAGUCUUUCGAAAAUUCGAUAUUCAGAAUACGUCACGUCUUCGAUUGCCGAUAUUUCUGUAAUUUCAUUCGCACAGCCUUUUGUCCCUCUUCUUUCAAUCGUUCCUGGCUCACGCGUUUUCACGUUUCAAGUUGAUAUAUGUAUAAAUAUGUUAUAUCGUAUACUCGUGUUAGAUGUUCGUCGAUCUCAUCGAAUCGAAAUAUUGAAAGACGAUCGAUACUUCGGCGAGCAAUGUUUAACUGUGAUAUUUUUGUUAAUAUCAAAUAAUUAUAUAUCGCUUAUAUAUCACUAAAAUAAAAAAUAAAACAUGAAAAAAAGAAAUGUUUUAAAAUAUCGCUUCGGUAAUAUAAUUUAAAAUUAGAACGUAUAUUUUUCUUAUCACUGAUUAUAAAAUGCAUCCUGUUUUGUCCUGGUACAAGAUAAAAGUUUAAAAUCUCAUUUUGAUCCUCUUUCCAAAGUAUAUUUUCGUCAACUUUCUCUAAUAUGCUUUCUAUUUUUUCCAGCUUCUCGAGAAAAAGGCGCAUUCAACGAAAUGUUGACGAAUAUAGCGACGAAGUUUCAGUAUAAAUUUUGGAUUUCUGUUAUAACAACUUAACGAUCGGCUGUGCCAAAAGAGUAAGUUGAAGGAUUAAUUUUUAAAUUUUUGUUCCUGGAAAACCAGUUAAACAUUUCUGUAUAAAUCGCAAGGGGAAGAAACAUGGAGGAUCUCGACGAGGGAGAAAAAGUUAAUCAGUCUUCCUUUUCUUCUAUCCAAGAGCGCGGUGACAAUCGAAGAUUAAUCGAACUGGUGGUAGAAGAGAAAGAAAGUGGAUCAGAAUGUUGCGUGAUAAACACGAGCCUUUCGAAAGCCUUUUCUCGAACGAGAGGGAAAAAACAUUUCCAUCCGCUGUUGAGAAAGCACAUAACGAAUAACGAGAAAAUAAGCGAGAAUUAAUUAAAGAGAAGAUGAUGGAAGGCGAGAGAUAAAAACUAGGAUAACAGAGAGAUAAGAAAAAAUGAGUAAAGCAGAUAGGAAGCGAAAAAUCGAGGGGGGGGGGAAUUCAUCCUUGCCUUUCAUUCCUUAUCUCGCGGAAAAUAAAGGGGUCAGUCUGUUUGCUCGAGAAAGCGUGUAUACACGCCACGGUUACAGAGUGAAAAAAUUACGUAUCCAACUCGAGGCAGAGGAAAUAAAAAUGGAAAAGAAGGAACCAUUACUAACUAAGGAAAGAUUCGUGAAAACUGAUCGAACGGUUGAUCAAAGAAGAAGAAAGAGAGAGAACAGGUGCAGGUCGCGAUAAACGGUAUUCGUUAAACGAGGCUACGCCCCGAGUUAAUUGCUUAAGUGUCGGAAUCGGUUUACGUAGAGUCGAGAAGCGCUAUCUAGAAAUUCCAACGCAGCCUUGUCCGAAAGACGACCGCCAGGAUACAUCGCGUGGAAUAAUCGAAAACGAUCCAUCUACAUCAGUAGAUUACCCCGUGUAUACCUUGUUCCACCGUGUAUAACACGGAUACCGAGAUUACAUUUGUUCGUUUCGAAGACGCAGAGCGGACGUUUGUGAAACGUUAAAGGCGAUUUUGCGCGCGUGAGGUGGUGAAAGUAGUAGCGUGGAAAGUGGAAGUUUUUUCACGGGUGCAGGUUUGAUUUUUAAUUUCCAUCGAACGUGACAAUGGUAGUUCGUUAGUUGUUGAUUAUUGCUUGAUUAAAUCGCGUGUCUUUUAAAUCUGAGAAAUUAUUUAUUAUUUUGUUAAGGAAAAUACGUGUCUACGAUUAUUCUAUUUCAUGUUAUUUGUGUGGAAAAUGUUUCUUUUACACGUAUACUCGU